rnacentral:rRNA from 1 species
UACGUAAGGUGCGAGCGUUAAUCGGAAUUACUGGGCGUAAAGCGUGCGCAGGCGGUCGUUCAAGUCGAGUGUGAAAGCCCCCGGCUCAACUGGGGAGGGUCACUCGAUACUGAUCGACUUGAAGGCGGGAGAGGGAAGCGGAAUUCCCGGUGUAGUGGUGAAAUGCGUAGAUAUCGGGAGGAACACCAGUGGCGAAGGCGGCUUUCUGGCCCGUUCUUGACGCUGAGGCGCGAAAGCUAGGGUAGCAAACGGG